rnacentral:rRNA from 1 species
GACGAACGCUGGCGGCGUGCUUAACACAUGCAAGUCGAACGAUGAACCCGGAGCUUGCUCCGGUGGAUUAGUGGCGAACGGGUGAGUAACACGUGAGUAACCUGCCCUUGACUCUGGGAUAACUGCGGGAAACUGUAGCUAAUACCGGAUACGACCCUCGGCGGCAUCGCCAGGGGGUGGAAAGAAUUUCGGUCAAGGAUGGACUCGCGGCCUAUCAGCUAGGUGGUGAGGUAACGGCUCACCAAGGCGACGACGGGGAGCCGGCCAGAGGGGGUGACCGGCCACACUGGGACUGAGACACGGCCCAGACUCCUACGGCAGGCAGCAGUGGGGAAUAUUGCACAAUGGGUGCAAGCCUGAUUCAGCAACGCCGCGUGAGGGAUGACGGCCUUCGGGUUGUAAACCUCUUUUAGUAGGGAAGAAGCGAAAGUGACGGUACCUGCAGAAAAAGCACCGGCUAACUACGUGCCAGCCGCCGCGGUAA